UGAGAGAACAUCUGGUCCAACUCCCUCAUUUUACAGAGGAAGAAAUAGAGAUUUUGAGAAGGGAAGUUAAAAAGGUAAUAGCCAAGCUUAGAACCCUGGUGGUCUGAUUUGUAUUCUAAAUUAUUUAACCUCUGGCACCUCAGGCUCCUCGUCAAUGAAUGAGGGAAUUAAAUGCCUUCUAAUAUGCUGCUUUAAAAUCUUAUAAACAUAGGCUGCUGUGUCCAAGAAUCACUUUACUAAUUCAGCUGCUCUCCAUAGCUCCUGCAGAAUGCACAAUUCACUAAAGGGAAGAGAACCAGGCUGGGAAACUAGAGACCUCCCACUGUUCUGCCUCAAGAUCAUUCACUCCUGAGAUUCUACUCUUCUGGUCCAGCUUUUAAGAGUCUAUGCUUCCCCUGGGAAUACUCAUGUGACCUGGGGCAGUGAAAGAAGGAGAGAACAAGGAUAACAAUUCGUACAAAAACAAUGUCAUUGUAAAAAGGAACAACUUUGAGAGCCUUAAAGACCUCUGAUCGACAAGGAACAGCGAUGAUUGCAGAAGGCAUUAUGAUGAAGCGGGCUAGCCACCUCCAGAGA
rnacentral:lncRNA from 1 species